rnacentral:lncRNA from 1 species
GCAUGGGGAUUCUGAUACUUGCAAAGCAGAUCUCUCAUCAUUGUUGUGAGACUCAAAGAAGCUAUUGUCUGUGCAGUGCUUUGCUAACCUUAAGUCCUGUGGAAAUGACAGCUGGUAUCAUCCUAAGGCAGCAGAUGGGAUGUGGAGAGGUCAGAAAGCUGCUUCUUACUCUUCCAGGCACACCACUGAGGAGACCAGCUGCCCUCAGGUGAAGAGCAAGAGGGUGAUGAUGACAAUGGUGACCCGUAGCUGGCCAGGCUGUACACUUUCCAGAGAGCUCCCCCAUCCAGCACAUUCUUCCAUUUGUAUCCUAGGUUGGCUCCAUGAAGAAGGUCCACGGAAAUUCUUUGAUGUAUCCAGGGCACCACAGACAUUGCUGUUUAGGUUAUCUGUGGGAACCAUGUGACUGCUUUUUGGCAUUAUGUCCACAAGAAGGGAAGUAAGGAAAAAAAAGCUUUCUAUCAAAUUUCUCAGGUAAAGUUUUGGUAUCUGGGAAGUAUCUACACAUAUAUAAGGACAACAGAAAUAUUUAAGCCAUCUCCCAACAGAUAAAUGGUCAAAAGAGCAAACUGUGCUCAAAA